AAACUAAUAAUAUUUUACAGAAAUCUUUUUAAAUAAUUUCAUUUAAAAUAAAAAAAUAAAAGUAAUUACAAGUUAAAAAAAAUAUGAAAUAUUUUUCUACAGAUACCUAAUUAACAAAUAACAUGACAUAUAAUGAGCUGGAUUUUUUAAGACAAGACAGCUCUCCAUUAUCAUCUUAUGCAUAACUACAUGACCUGUCCCAAAUUUUAUUUUAGUAUUGCUGCUGCGCGUUUUGCUAGUUAAAAGAAAAUAGACAAUAUACAAUAUCUAUAUUUAUUUUAUUAUUUACUAAUAAGUUAGAUUCGUACAAAAAUAAUUAUAAUUAAAAAUAAUAGUAUUAUUUCUGUUAGAUGGGAUAAACUUACUUCCUUUUCUUUCAUAAUAACUAGUGAAGUAAGUUAAUAAUUUAAUAUCCAAUUUAAAUAUAUAGCAUUAAAUCUAAGCACCACACUGCAGUUUCGGUAUAAUUCAUUAGAAGCAUAUAUCCUUUGUACUACAGAUUUAAUCUUGUGGACAUCGUAAUUUGAGUUUGGAUCCUUUUGGCCAAUAACCCAUAAAUGAAAGAAGUUUUCGUGGAGCAACACGGCCUCUUUUUUUCCUUCACCUCCAUGGCUUCUUACCAUUUAUUAUCACAAAAAGCAACAAAUAGUAAUAAAUGUAUCUGACAAUGAAAAUAGUCAUUUACCUCCAAACAAAUCUAACAUGUUUCAAUUAUUAAGAAAACAAUGAAUUAGUAUAAUUUAUAUAAUAUAUUAAACAAUGAAACUAAUUAAAUAUCUAUUAAUAUUUAAGAUAUCUUCACGGGAUAUCAAAUAAAGAACUGAAAAGACUUUUGUUGGAGUAUAGGAAUCACAGAGUCAGAACACUUAUAAGAAAUGACUAACGCAAUUAAAAAAAUGUUAAAUAUAGAAAAUGGAAAACAAUUUACCUCAUAUACAAAUUAUUUUGCCUUCUUCCUUUCCUCUUCAUUUUCUUUUCGUUUAUUGUAUUUUUUGUAUGCAGGAAAUGAGAAAAAAAAUGUUCAUCAAACAGAAAUGGAACAAAAAUAAACAAUUCGCACAAAAAACAAAGAAUAAAAACUUUAAUCUUCUGUCUUCAUCAUUUCACUCAUUUCUCUCUUAAAGCCUUCCACCGUUGAAGUUGCUUUGCUUAAUGUUUUAUUUUAUGCUUCAUAAUUUAGUGGCCUAACAUUCCCCAAAAAUAUGAACUUUUUCCCUCAAACCUAAGAUCUACUAUGAGAAUUCAAUAGAAAACCAAUACCAAUACCACUACAUUUCAAAUUCAAAAUUUUAAAUUUCAAAACAGAACAAAUGCUUUGUAUAAAAACAAUAUUGCACAUAACAAAAAAAAAUAUUAAACCAGAUGAACAUCAAUAUGAAAAAAGACACAAAACAACAUAAAACAUUUAAAUCAGAUGAACAUCAAUGAAAAAACACAUAACAAAAUAUUUAAAUCGGAUGAACAUCAAUAUGAAAAAAAUAAUUGUAGAUGAGAAAUAUGAUGAAAAAGUAAAACAGAACAAAUGCUUGGCAUAAAAAAAAUUGCACAUAACAAAACAAAAAAUUUAAAUCGAAAUUAAUUUAAACCAGAAUAACAUUAGUAUGUAAUGUAGUAAACAAAAGUGAUAAACUUACGAAGAACUGUUGAAGACCUUUUGGGGAUUUUGAGAACAAUAAGAUUGAGGAAUAAUGCAAAAUUCAAUAUGAAAAAAAAACACAUAACAAAACAAAACAUUUAAUUUCGACAAUAUGAAAAAAAAUUAUAAAUGAGAAAUAUGAUGAAAAAGAAAAACAAAACAAAUGUUUGGCAUAAAAGAAACUACACAAAACAAAUCAAAAAAAUUAAACUGGAAUAACAUCAGUAUGAAAUGUAGUAAACACAAAAGAUAAGUUUACCAAGAAUGGGUGAUGACCUUUUGGGAGUUUUGAGAGCAAUAUGAUUGAGGAAUGCAUGGCAGAAUCCAAUGAGAAGAUGAUGUAUAAAUAGUAAAAAAAAGGCUCCAAAAUUCAUCAGAAAUCAAAUUUGAAAUUAAAAAAUCAUUACCUUGAAAUAUGGUUAAACAUAAACUUACUUUACUGCAAAACAUGUCCAUAAACAAAAAAAAAAACUCGAGAGUAGUGUCACAAAAAGAACCCAUUUUGAAUUUUGAAAUUGGUAAAUAGUUUUAGCAAAACAUGAAAAAUGUAAACUUAAUGAUUCAGGAAACACUUAAAAACAAACAUAAGUUAAGCAGUGUCAAAAAAAGAACAUACAACAUAACCAAAUAUGAGUUUUGAAAUUUUGAAAUAAUCAGAAACCCUAAUGACUCUAAAAAACAAUUAAAAACAAACAUUAACCAUAAAAAGGAAAUAUUUGAGAAAACGUCUUUGAAAUGUGGUUAAAAUCGAUUAAGCUUUAAAACCAUAUAUACUUAGAAACCCUAAUGAAUUUGUAAACGAUUAAAAACAAACAUUAACCAUAAAAGGAAAAUUUACGAGAUCUUUUUUUGAAAUACGGUUAAAAACCGAUUAAAAGUAGAAACCAUAAAUAGUCAAAAACCCUAAUGACUCCAAAAAAGAUUAAAAACAACAUUAUACAACAAAUCUCGAAAAACGACCCAAUCGCAAAUCGGAAAGUUCUUACCACUUUGAAACCCUAGAAAUCAUGUAACACGGUUUGGGGAGAAGACUCAGCAAACGAUGUAGUUUUGUUUUUCCAGGCGUACAAAAAAAGACAAAGAUCUUACCUCGACGAGGUGGAGGAUACGAUGCUUAAACAUAUGGUGCAUUCAUUUUCACAAAGAACAAAAUCACGAAGAACCUAUGAGAGAGUAGAGGUGGUUGUGACAGAAUAGCGAAAAAGAAAAUGAGAGAGAGAGAGAGAGCAAAGAGCAACACAAUGUCAGAGAGCAUUCGAAAAUGUAAUGAGAGAGAGCGAAAGGAAAAACUAAAAAGAGAGAGAAAGAACAAAAAGUAAAAAAUAAUAGAGAGAGACACAGUGAAGGAAGGAAGUGUCACGUGUCAUCGAAAAUGAAAGAAGGGAGUGUCACAUAUCACUUUAAGAAUGCAUUUCUGAAAUAAUGUUUUGAGUGAUUCUUUUCUUACCCUAAAAAUAGUUCCCAUUUUUAUUAUAGAUACAUAGAGUAUUUUAAUCUGAUGAUUUUUUUUUUAUCUACAUUCACUUGUUUAUAUGUAAACUAAUUAAGGAAGGAUAAAUUUUUAUUGCAAUUUUGAUUGACUUUCAUCUUAGUAAGUUACUUAUUUAAACAUGUUUAAUAAUUUUUUUGUUUUAUUUUGAAUAUAUAAUUAUGCAUUUUCCUUUGUGUUGCUACUUUCCAAGAGUUGAUGUGUAUUGUGGCAGGUUGUCUUUACAAAGAACCAAUCUUUAUAAAGAACACUAGUGCAUAAAUGCUAAACAAAGGCGGUUAUUUUACAUUUACAAAUGCGACUAUAGAGCCGCAUUUGAUCAGCACACAUUCGUAAAUCAAAGAGAUACAAAUGCGGCUACAUAGCUGCACUUGUAAAUACUAUUUAUAAAUGCGGCUAUUUCAGGUAGCCGCAUUUGUAUAUGCUUCUGAAUGAGGUGACAGGGUUUAGGGUUUACAAAUGCGGCUUGUAAAUCACAUUUACGAAUGCGGCUUUGGUAAUAGCCGCAUUUGUAAAUCAUGCGCUUGAUUUACAAAUGCGGCUUUGGUAAAUAACCACACUUGUAAAUAGUGGUUUGUUUUUAGUGCAAUCUGUUUUGUCCCAAACUCAUAUAAAUUAACCUGUAUAUUGAUCAAAAUGUACCCAACCAGACAAAUACAUAAAUAUAGAGAUAAAUUUAGAGAAUCUAAAUGUACAUUACAAACAAGUAAUCAAAUUACAUAUAAUCCCUACACUAUUGAUCAGCUAUCCUAGAGUUAUAAAAAUUUAUGAAAUAUGUGGACUAAGAAUGUCUCACAUAUGACAUGGCUUCUGAAUUCAUUGGUAUUUCUUCCGUGAAUAACUGCAUUGCAAAAUAUAGUUGACAUAAAUUAGUUUUUAGAUACAUAUAUGUUCAACAAUUAUAAAAAUGAUUUAACAUAUCAUGUUACCUCUUUCCAACCAGUUUUAACACCUAGUCUUAUAAUGGUAAUCAUCCAUUGCAUAAUGUAAUAGCCACAUUAAUAACUUCAUGGUUGUUUAUUACACUAUAAUUCAAUAAAAGUAAAAGUUAGUAUAUUGAUAAACAAUGAUAAGAGAAAGAAAAAAUUACAAACCUUUAUUCUUAUCUAGUUCAAAUUAUUUGAACUAGAUCGACCUUUUAGGAUGUUAUAUCCACGCCAUGAACUGGUUAAUACAAAAAACCUCGUUAGUAGAUGGUUAAUUAGUAACAUACAAAGUAAAGUUUAUAGUGUACUUACGUAUCAAUGAUAUUCUUAAAAUUUGUGGGUAUCUUAUUGUGUAGGGAACAAAACCACACAUCAGUCUUAUCAACCAUUGAUAAGACAAGUAACUGCCAAUGAUGCCUAUAUCAUCCAUGAAAAAAGUUAGUAAAUAUUUAAAACAUGAAAUAGUAAUAAUUGAUGACAUAUAAUUAAAUUUACUCAUUAAUAUAAGGGCAUAAAUAAAAAUUUUCCCUCUUUUUCCAGGGUGUUAGUGAUGUAUGCUUGGGUCUCAUAUGACCUUGGUUCAACG
rnacentral:lncRNA from 1 species